rnacentral:tRNA from 1 species
UGGGCCUGGGCCCCGGUGGCGUCGGCCUCCGGGGCCGGCAGCCCGGGGAUCCCCGGGCUCGGGGCCGGGGGGGCCGCC